rnacentral:rRNA from 1 species
AGAGCGAACGCUGGCGGCAGGCCUAACACAUGCAAGUCGAGCGCCCGUAGCAAUACGGGAGCGGCAGACGGGAUAGUAACACGUGGGAACGCGCCCUUCGGUUCGGAAUAACUCAGGGAAACUUGAGCUAAUACCGGAUACGCCCUUACGGGGAAAGAUUUAUUGCCGAAGGAACGGCCCGCGUCCGAUUAGCUAGUUGGUGAGGUAAUGGCUCACCAAGGCGACGAUCGGUAGCC